GAUCAUUAGUGAAUUGCUCUUUGAGCGUUAAACUAUAUCCAUCUACACCUGUGAACUGUUGAUUGACUUCGGUCAAUUACUUUUACAAACAUUGUGUAAUGAACGUCAUGUUAUUAUAACAAAAAUAACUUUCAACAACGGAUCUCUUGGCUCUCGCAUCGAUGAAGAACGCAGCGAAAUGCGAUAAGUAAUGUGAAUUGCAGAAUUCAGUGAAUCAUCGAAUCUUUGAACGCAACUUGCGCUCUCUGGUAUUCCGGAGAGCAUGCCUGUUUGAGUAUCAUGAAAUCUCAACCAUUAGGGUUUCUUAAUGGCUUGGAUUUGGGCGCUGCCACUUGCCUGGCUCGCCUUAAAAGAGUUAGCGUAUUAACUUGUCGAUCUGGCGUAAUAAGUUUCGCUGGUGUAGACUUGAGAAGUGCGCUUCUAAUCGUCUUCGGACAAUUCUUGAACUCUGGUCUCAAAUCAGGUAGGACUACCCGCUGAACUUAAGC
rnacentral:misc_RNA from 1 species